rnacentral:rRNA from 1 species
AUUGAACGCUGGCGGCAGGCCUAACACAUGCAAGUCUAGCGAGCGGCGGACGUUUGUGUACUGUAUUUGGAUCUGCCCGAUAGUGGGGGAUACCUACUGGUAACGGUGACUAAUACCGCAUACUAUCGGAGGAACCCAUAUGGGAUUAGCUAGUAGGUGGGGUAAAGGCUCACCAAGGCGACGAUCUCUAGCUGGUCUGAGAGGAUGAUCAGACACACUGGGACGGAGACACGGCCCAGACUCCUGCGGGAGGCAGCAGUGGUGAAUAUUGCACCAUGGGCGCAAGCCUGAUGCAGCCAUUCCGCGUGUAUGAUGAAGGCCUUAGGGUUGUAAAGUACUUUCAGCGGAGAGGCGUUACCCGCAGAAGAAGCAGCGGAUAACACCGUGCCAGCCGCCGCGGUAAUUC